UGGGGAAUUUUGGACAAUGGGCGCAAGCCUGAUCCAGCAAUGCCGCGUGCAGGAUGAAGGCCUUCGGGUUGUAAACUGCUUUUGUACGGAACGAAACGGUCCUUUCUAAUACAAGGGGCUAAUGACGGUACCGUAAGAAUAAGCACCGGCUAACUACGUGCCAGCAGCCGCGGUAAUACGUAGGGUGCGAGCGUUAAUCGGAAUUACCGGGCGUAAAGCGUGCGCAGGCGGUUAUAUAAGACAGAUGUGAAAUCCCCGGGCUCAACCUGGGACCUGCAUUUGUGACUGUAUAGCUAGAGUACGGUAGAGGGGGAUGGAAUUCCGCGUGUAGCAGUGAAAUGCGUAGAUAUGCGGAGGAACACCGAUGGCGAAGGCAAUCCCCUGGACCUGUACUGACGCUCAUGCACGAAAGCGUGGGGAGCAAACA
rnacentral:rRNA from 1 species